GUAAAUAUCUGAUGUGCCGUAUGACAAUGUGUAACAGGUGGACAACAGAGUGCAGUCUCUGUCAGAGCAGUACGAUGGCCCACAACCCUCAGACCUCUGUGACCUGUUGGAGGGAGAGCAGUUCUUCGCUGGCUUCGAGAGGGGCCUAGACGUCAGCGCAGACAGACCAGACUGUGCGGAAGGGAGACUGUCGUUUGUCUUCUACUCUCGGUUGAAGAAUCUCAAAGAGGUGUACGUCUGUCCUACACAGAAGCAGGAGGGGUCAAUCAGGGGCCAGGUGUCUUUUUAUCGAGGGGAGGUUCCCAGUGACAUACCACAGGAAGUGGCCAGGAAAAGGAAAGGACACGACAGCCAAUGGCUGGCCACCUUACCACUCAGACUUCCUGGCCUGAACUCAGAGGGUGGUAGUAAUGGUAUGGACUGGGAGCAGCCCCAGUAUCCUCCGCUGAACCUGGGAGACCCAGAGAGCGGGUAUCUGACUGAGGCUAACCUGCUGGCCAUCUCCCUGCAGAUCGGACAGGACUGGAGGUCCAUCGGUAUCAACCUGGGAAUCAGCUACCAGGAGCUGGACCGCAUACAGUACAAAUACAGGUGGGUAUGUUCAUUAGGCACCAAAUGUAAGAAAACUGAUCGAAACAGGGAGGCAUUACCUGUACUUAUCCAAUAAGAAACAUUCAUUUUGCAUUAAGUACAAAUACACGUUGGCAUGAUGGUUACUGUGAUGGAGAGCCCAGGGUCCUGUUCAUUAGGCACCAAAUGUAAGAGAAAAAAAAGCGGGUUUUGAGACUGGGAGGGACUUCCUGGACUUGAGAAAAGCUCAAUCUUUCAUUUUUUUUUCUGUUGCAGAUGACUUUUGAAACGUUUUUUCCCUCGUUAUGUACCCUAAUGAACAAGAGCCAGGACGUGUUCACUUUAGAAUGAUUAACCACCCUGCAUGCAACCGUAUAGCGUAUAGCCCCUAUGCCAGUGGAUGUUCUUACAGACCAGGGUGCAUAUUUAGUUUUUUUAUUGGGAUGGGAGGUUCCGGUGCUGGUUCAGGAUAGGUCUCACUCACA